rnacentral:rRNA from 1 species
UACGGAGGGUGCGAGCGUUAAUCGGAAUUACUGGGCGUAAAGCGUGCGUAGGUGGUUGCUUAAGUCAGAUGUGAAAGCCCCGGGCUCAACCUGGGAACUGCAUUUGAAACUGGACAACUAGAGUCUAAGAGAGGGGAGUGGAAUUUCAGGUGUAGCGGUGAAAUGCGUAGAGAUCUGAAGGAACACCAGUGGCGAAGGCGACUCCCUGGCUUAAGACUGACGCUGAGGUACGAAAGCGUGGGUAGCAAACAGG